ensembl:lncRNA
AGAUAACGAGCAGCAGGUGAGGCAUCCUCCAGCGCAGGAAGACUUCUGGGUCGCGAUUCCUCAGGUGACCCAAAACACCUGGGAGCACACACUGAGAGACGGGAGCGAAAAAAGAGAGAAAACAACAAAACUCUACACACAGAAAGAAAAUAAACAGGGCUCGGCAGGGAGUGAGAGUCACAGGUGUGGAGCCUACUGCAACAGAAGGAGAGGCGGAUUAUUGUCAGGCAGAGAAUACCGGAAGCAAGACGAGUCUUUACUAGAAAUCAUGCUUACUUGGAAAGUGAGGAGUAAUGUGCUCCAAGGGAGAUGCAACCAGGUGAGUAUCGAAGUGAGAGGCGAAAUGAAUGAGCCAAGAUGUCCGACAUUUUCUUCCUGUUGCAGUGAUCUGGCUGAGCAGAAGAGCAGCCAGGUAAGAUGUCUGAGCAUUUUGUUCUUCCAGACCACUGAGGAAAAGCAUCCCACAGAGAAAUUAAAGAGCUGAGUUUUGGAUGCUUCAAAAGGAGACAAGCCUGUAGCAGAGAAGGUGAGAGUUAUUGUUAGGUUUAUAUUGUUGGAUUGUCAUUUAUGCUUAGAAAUAUAUACUCAUAUAUGCUUAGAAGUAUAUAAUCGUUUGUAGAUUGAAGGAAUGUCUUAUCCUAGGAGGUCUGCAACAACCCUGUCUACCGUGAAAAGGGGAGUACGUUCUCUCCUCUUCCAGAGUGUUCUGGCAUAAGUCACACACCUCCUAGGGCAGGGGUCGGCAACCUGCGGCUCCGGAGCCACAUGCGGCUCUUUAGUCCUUAUACUGCGGCUCCGCGUGGUUUGGGAAAAUAAAUUAUAAGUAUUUAGCUGAAGUGUAUUUUAUUUAUGUUAGUUCUUUUUUAACUUGUAGUUCUAAAUUGGAAGAUUAUUGUGAUAUUGAAAUUUAAAAAUAAAAUUAUAUUCUAUUAUUUUUUCAUCGCCCAAAAUAAGCGUCAGACUCGCGGAAGCCGGUAUAUCCGCCAAAACGCCGUGCAUUUAUCGAGACUUUCAACCCUAGGUAGGUCAAUUAUGGAUCUUCGGAUCCACAUUAUGUCAGCAGCUGUUCUCCACCGUGAACUAUGUUAAAGACAAACACCGCUCAUGCCUCACAGAUGACAGCUUACUGCGUAAAGAUGAAAGUGACUUAGUACAGGCCCGAUUUGCAGACGCUGUGCACAGAGGUUCAGGAGCAGAAGUCCCAUUGUAAACAUUGCCACGGCAGACCCGACGAUGUUUCCAUGAGCAUGCUUUUCAGCAUCUCUUUAUUGACCACUUUUUACACACAGUUGCUGUACGCAUACAGCCGGUUGUAGCUUUUCAGCUCACAGCCUGACACAUACGAACACAACAGCAUAGAUAGCACAGACAUUAAGGCAGCAAGGCGUGAUUGCGGGUGCUGCUCAGGUGCGUCCGCCUCCACUGCAGCAGCGGUGCAGACCACGCCCCGCCACACACAUUAACCAGGUAAAAUACAUAUUUAGGCAGAAUUUUGCAAAUAUCUAUUUUUCAUUUUUUAGCAGCAUAGUGCUUUUUUCCAAUUAUUUUUUAAAAGUCAGGUCAAGGCUCCAAAAGCCCAAAGGCGAUAUAAGGGAGGCGGCUCACAAGAGUUUUUGUUUGCUACAUGGAUCAUUUUACAAUACAAUACAAUACAAUUUUAUUUAUAUAGCACAUUUAAAAACCCGAAAGCACACCAAAGUGCUUCACAGUAAUAUAGAGAGUCAACAUAAGUCAAUAACAGGGUACAAAUCGGGCACUAGCACAGACAGGAUAGAGGCACUAACAGACCAGGAGAGUUAGAUGAAUACAAAAUCUGCCAAGGCAAAAACAGCAGUAAAAUUAAUAAAAAAAUAAUAAAUUUAAUAAAAUCUAAUAAAAGAUUUAAAAGUUUAAAAUUUAAAAGAUUAAAAGGGUAUUAAGUGGUCAGGAAAGCCAAGUCAAAUAGAUAUGCUUUUAAUCUUGAUUUGAAGGACUGGAUAGAGUCCAAGGCUCGAAUAGAAGCGGGGAGGCUAUUCCAAAGGUUGGGUGCAGCUGAAGCAAAGGCAGCUGGGUGUCUUUGCUUUUGUUAUAUUUCUUUAAGAGUUCAAAAUGUGUUAAUUACAUAAAUAAAAUGUAAUUUUCUCUGUAGCACUUCAUGGAUUUCAUAAGCAGCACACCUUAAUUGUUCACACAAAGCAUAAAGGUAAAACACAAUAAAUACAGUGUUAUCUUCAUUUUAGAUGUCAAAAAGUAUUUCCGGGUCCCAGUGUUUUCUUUUGCGUGGAAACCGGGUCCAAAUGGCUCUUUGGGUGUAAAAGGUUGCAGACCCCUGUCCUAGGGUCAUGAGAGAGGUUGUACCUUCUCUUUCUGAUAUAUGGUAUAGCAAACACACCUAUAUCUGUUUAAGUAUAAGAGCCCUUUGUUUUGGUGGACCGCUGGGCUCCUACACCAGCUUUGGGGAGUCGUUCACAGGGUCACAUCUUGACACACACACACACACACACACACACGCAUACCUACACAUACACACAGACUGGUACUCUUUGUUUACAUGUAUGCGUAUGUGAGACGUCAUAUGUUAAUGAACCUAUACAUAUUCAUGUAACCACAAUAAAGAGCAGUGCUACAGGGGAGCUAACUGAGAGUGACUGGGGUUCGAGCGUCAGGAGCAGCGCUCGUCACAGCUCUCUCCCUUGUGCACGAGAUCACACAAAGAGCUCUGCCUGGUGUCCAAUGCUUUUUGCCAUUGUAGUACAAUUGUCCUUAGGCCCUUAGACAGGCAACCAAAAUCAUCUACGUAUGGAACGCCAGG